rnacentral:lncRNA from 1 species
GACUGAGGCGGAUCCAGAGGGCACAUCACAGCUGGACGCUCAGAACAGAGGCCCCGGGGCCAGCCAGGGUCCUUGGCCUGAGUCAUGGCAACAGAAGCCAAUCGAGCAGCCACAGUUACCCCCAGGUCUGGAGCUGAAGGGCUCCCUCCGUGGCAGGGCCUCAGCCACCCCCAGCCUGGCCAGACAGAUCAACCCCAGAAAGUCCCGCCCCAGGAGAAGCCCAGGAGGAGGAGCCGCCGUCUCAAGGAGCUGGGGGCCUGCCAUGUUGUCGUCGCUCUGCUGUACGUGUUCCUUGGGGGUUACCUGGCCGCCAUCGUCCAGAGCCUUCACCUGGUGGUGCUGAAGUCUUGGUAUCCGUUCUGGGGGGCUGCUUCUGUGAGUAGAGGCCAAAACAUUGGCCCAGUGGGGGUAGGGAGAGCUGGCGACCCUGGGAACCGGAUGCAGGGUGGGGCAGAGGGAGCCGGUAGGAGGACAGCAGCCUCAGCGCCUUUCUCAGUCCUCCCAGCUCUGCCUCUGCUCUCUUGGUCACACUGGAAGUAGCGCCGUCUCCUAAUUCACACGGGGGCCCAUCAGAGAGGAGGGUGAACAUGAGCUGGGGAGCUACCUGCAGCUUCUUCAGGCUUCUGGGCAGCCAGGCACCUCCGGAUCCAGCCACCCAUCCCUGGUGCCUAAAGUCUCUGUCAGGGUCCAGCUGCAGGGCACAAGGAUGUAAGGCCCAGCUCCGGUCCUCCCAAGGCCAUCAGCCAGGGCGGGCGAUGAGAGAAGGGCAGGGAGCACCUUCCCGGAGGCCCUCCAGGGUAUCCUCCCCACCCCCCACCCCCCGUCCUGGCAGGGUCCCACUCACACACCAAGUCCCAGCUCCUCAGCACCCCUCAGGCAGGUGUCCCAACUCUUCCUGCUGUCACUUCAGUCCUCUUUCCCCUCUGCACCCCACCCCCAGAGCUUUCAGUGCAUAGGGAAGGGAACCAUCUCUGCAUCACCUCGACUGGUGCAUAGCAGGCGCUCAGUGCACAUGUGAUAGAAUAAUUGCAGGAAAACACCAGAGACCCCAGAACCAAGAGCAAAUAUCCUCCAAACGACAGGACCCAGGAAAGGAGCAAGGGUCGGCGCAAAGGGGGCAGUGCAGCUGAUCCCCACGGGAGGGUCUGGGCUGGUAAAAGGGGGAAGCGAGGGGACCAGGAGGGCAUUCUUGAGCCCAGGAGAGAAGGUCCGUGCACACAGGGAAGACCAGCCUGGCUGGAGCGUGAUCUGUGGGCAGGGUGAGCCCCCUUUGUUGGAGGAAUGGUGUUCUCUGCCCCACCAGCCACCAGAGAUUGAUUUUCUAAGAGCAUAGCAGGAAGGGAAUGUGUGAGUUUCAAGGAACCCCAGCUUCUCUCUUAUGACUGUUUCAAAUCUGGUCCGCAGUUCCUCAUUUCAGGGAUCUUGGCAAUAACAAUGGAGACAUUUCAGAAAAAUUACCUGGUAAGUCACAGCGUUGAGAGUGUUCCCUUCCAUCCCAAGCCUGGGGUGACUUUUCAACGGGCAUCGUUUGGAGUGGGGACUCAAGAGGCAUCUCUCCAGGAUUUGCUAGACGUGGGCACCAGCCUCUGGGACAGCAGAGGGCGUCCGGGCUGAAUGGUCCCCCUUCCUGGAGUUCUGACCUCACACCCUGACUCCCGCCUUUCUCUCCACCUGCUGCCCUCUCCCCACCCCGGUUCUGGCCUAGAGACAGGCAUCAUCCAACCUGUUGAUGGUAGCCUUGGAGAUUGUUCUGCCAGCCCUACCUUGGCCCCCCUGGGCCCCGCCAUCAUACUCCCUACCCCACCCCACCCAAGGCUUGCCUCCAACAUCAGCAAGUCUACCUGCCUGCAGGCUGGACCACAGCUGGGUUUCCAUAUACGUCUCACCUCUAAGCGCCAGCUGGACACAAGUGGUCCCCCCUGUGCUCUGUGCUGUCUCGUGCCCAGACACCUUGCCUUUCCCCACUGUGCAUGUUCUCCUGGCUUUGACUUCCUCCUGAUCAUUCUUCAAGGCGUACUUUACAUGCCUCCUCCUCCAGGCAGUCUUCCCUGACCUGCCCUGGCUGGCUCCUGUGUCCCCACAGCUCCUUGGACUUCUCUGUCUCCUUUCUCUCUCAGGCACUAAGCUUGGGCAGCAACUGCCUGAGCAUCUUUCUAGCCCGAGGCAGCCCAGGGAGGCACAGAGUGGACACCCACAUGAGCCCAAGUGGAUGGAGGUGGAUGGGGGCGGGAAGGACCUUCCCAUCCACCCUGUGUCAUGGCCUCAGCACCCCCUCCACCCCCAAGCCCUGCCUGGGUCCACAUUCAUGCCUCCCAUUGCUGAUGAACGGGGAUGGCCUGUCUCUUCUGUGAAUUCACAGGAUCUGAUGGAAAAAAGGGAAGACUCGCCAUCCAGCUUCUCCACUUCCCACCACCUCCCUCUCCCCAAGGGGCAGGGCAGCCCAGGCAUGGUCCCUUGCUCCUCCCUGGCUUGUGCUCUGGCUGUCCCCACCGCCCUCUGUCCGCAGGAGCAGUCUUUGCUGGGGCUGGGGACGUGGAGUAUGGGGCAGGGUGUGGUGCAUCCGAGCUCGUUCAGCCAGGACGUGCGCAAAACUCAUCUCGGUCAAGCACCAAGGCCGGCUCACAUUCGUGCCUCCCAGACCGGGCUGGACUGGCUGCCCCCUGCCCUCUUGGGGUGUAGCAGACAAAAGCAUGUUGUGCCACUUACCCAGCAGAGGCAGGGAUGCUUGGCAGAAACCUGGCCAUUCCUCCUGGGCUGGGCCCCUUCCAGACCCAUAAGCCUACCCCUUCCUACACCUGAACGCGGGGAGCCUCUCAUUGCAGAGAAAUCCAUUCUAGCAUAAGAGGUUGGGGUGCCUUAUGUUUAUACCCUUUCCCCGUUAUAGGGGUUUGUACUUGGCAAGAAUCCCGUGGAAUAAGGUGAGACCCAAGACGAUGAGGAAUGAGGCAUUUCCGGGGCUAUGGCGGGCAGGGAAGGGGGUGACCUGAGUGAGUGAAGAUAGGGCACUUUCGGGGCUCAUCCCACCUGGGUCGGGGGGCCAUUUGGGUGUCGAGACUCUGAUCAGUUAGCAUAUCUGCUGCCAGGAUGACUGGGAACAGCUUGGAGAGAAAGACGGCAGAGCAGGGGGUGGGGCUUCCUUCCUUAUUGCAAAGCCUGUGGAUCCAGAGGUGGUCCUUGCAUUCUCUGGGUCCCAUCCCAUAGAAGGCGAGGGCCAGUUGGGGCUCCUCGUGGUCAGCCAGCUCAGAAAGCUGUGUGUGGGUGAACUUCUGGCCCAGAGACAGGCAGCAUUUUCCUGAGGUCACAAAGUGAGCUACUGGCUGGCCUGCGUGGAGGACCAAGGACUCAUCUCUGACCUUUGGACUACGGCUGUCACUUUUUUUUUGCUUGUAGGCGGCGUGCCUGACAGCAAAUGCCAUCAGCUUCUUCUGUGUGCUCUGUGGCCUCUUUGUCAUCGCCAAGGAUCUCUUUCUGGAGAGCCCAUUUGACUUCCCUGUCUGGAAACCAUACCCCAACGACACAGUCCACAUCCAGAGGCUGGUGCUGGCCCUGCUCUGCGUCACCUGCCUGGAGGUCUUCCUGCCGGGGCUCAUGGCCAUCCUGGCCUACAGGGAUACCCGCCUGGCUGCAGAGCAGGAUGACCUGUCCCUUGGCCCUGACAUGCUGUUGGAGCUCAGGGGGUCUCCGAUGACACCUCCACCAUCCUAUGACGAUGUGACUAAAGGCAACGGGUGGCAGGAGCAGAAGCAGAUGUGAAGAGGCACUGGCUCCACGCACCAUCAGAAUUCACCCACUGGUCCCUUGUCCCGGACAGAUUAAGGACCAAUUCCAAGGGGCGGUUACCAGAAGGGGGCAAAUGGUACCGUGGCUAAAAACGUCUGCCCCAUGCUGGUGGCCAGGGAGAGGAAGUCCCCAUUCUGUCUGGCAUGGGAGGGACCUCCAGGUCCCCACGCCCCAUAACAUCCCAGCUGGACCAGAACACAACUGGGUCCUGCCCACCCACCCAGGCAGACACGGGAACAGACCCCUGGGUCCGCAGCCCCCUCCCCCACCCUCCUUGUCUGCUUCCCCCAGUCCCUGGUGGGCACAUAGACAUCCUGUCCACGUGGGGCUGUGCCUGAAGAGGAGAAGGGUCCUCAGAGCCCAGAUGGGCACCGUUUUCCCUGGACUCGACCUACCAAGGGGUCUCUACAAACACUUGUGUUUGAAUCCCUGGAUUCGGGGUGGAGACAGCAGGGGCGAUCAGACAGAAACUAUGACCAGUUCUUCCUCCCAAACCAUCAGCAUGUCUCCCCGCCCCCACCCCGGGGCCUCAGUGUCUCCAUCUGUACAGGGAAGGGGCGGGCGGAAGAUGUGACCAGGACCUACCUGCUGGGAAGUUCUGAGAUCAGAGUCAAGUUCACUCAAGGUUAUCAAGGAAGCAUCAGCAUCAGAAUUCCACACCUCCUUGUGCUGAGCGAAUAGUGGGGAGAGAGACCUACCUUCCUCAUUUCCCAAUUUUCAGUCAUCCAAGGGCCAACCUUACAAAUUUGGUCUAUUUGUGGACUGUGCUGUAUUCCCUUUAUGUUCCCUUAAAUUGCCUUUUUUUCUCAUGCACUAUUAUGUGAGGGGUAAUUUGCAUCAGCAACAAACAGGAAGUCUGUACCUAUCCAUACAAAGAAGCCAACCACAAAAAUCACGUAAACACGGUAAAAAUAAAACAAAAGCAACUUGUCGC